UGGGGAAUUUUGCACAAUGGGGGAAACCCUGAUGCAGCGACGCCGCGUGUACGAUGAAGAUCUUCGGAUUGUAAAGUACUGUCCUUGGUGAAGAUAAUGACUGUAACCAAGAAGCAAGCCCUGGCUAAAUACGUGCCAGCAGCCGCGGUAAUACGUAUGGGGCAAGCGUUGUCCGGAAUUAUUGGGCGUAAAGGGUACGUAGGCGGUUAUUUAAGUCUAAAUUAAAAGGCAUUGGCUCAACCAAUGUAAGGUUUAGAUACUGGAUAACUUGAGUAGAUGAGGGGAAAGUGGAAUUCCAUGUGUAGCGGUGAAAUGCGUAGAUAUAUGGAGGAACACCAAUGGCGAAGGCAACUUUCUGGAAUCAAACUGACGCUGAGGUACGAAGGCGUGGGGAGCAAACAGG
rnacentral:rRNA from 1 species